rnacentral:tRNA from 1 species
UCUAAAAUGACAGAUAGAUGUGUAGGAUUUAAGCUCCUAAUAGGAAGGUCUUUCCCUUCUUUUAGAA